CACUAUGGCGGCUUUACGUGGGGCAUCCCUGGAUGCGCCGGGUUCGUUGGUUUCCUCGGUCUGCUAACCCGCGUACAGCCGCCACCCAC
rnacentral:antisense_RNA from 1 species